GAUGAACGCUAGCGGCAGGCCUAACACAUGCAAGUCGAGGGGUAGAACACUUCGGUGUUUGAGACCGGCGCACGGGUGCGUAACGCGUAUGCAAUCUACCUUAUACAGGGGAAUAGCCCAGAGAAAUUUGGAUUAAUGCCCCAUAGCAUUACGACUUGGCAUCAAGAUGUAAUUAAAGUUCCAACGGUAUAAGAUGAGCAUGCGUCCCAUUAGUUAGUUGGUAAGGUAACGGCUUACCAAGACGAUGAUGGGUAGGGGUCCUGAGAGGGAGAUCCCCCACACUGGUACUGAGACACGGACCAGACUCCUACGGGAGGCAGCAGUGAGGAAUAUUGGUCAAUGGUCACAAGACUGAACCAGCCAUGCCGCGUGCAGGAAGACGGUCCUAUGGAUUGUAAACUGCUUUUAUACAGGGAGAAACCCUCCCACGUGUGGGAGCUUGACGGUACUGUAGGAAUAAGGAUCGGCUAACUCCGUGCCAGCCGCCGCAGUAA
rnacentral:rRNA from 1 species